rnacentral:rRNA from 1 species
GAUGAACGCUAGCGGCAGGCUUAAUACAUGCAAGUCGAGGGGCAACAGGGGUAGCAAUACCUGCUGGCGACCGGCAAACGGGUGCGGAACACGUACAGAACCUUCCUUUAAGUUGGAGAUAGCCCGGAGAAAUCCGGAUUAAUACCUAAUAGUAUUAUGGUGUGGCAUCACAUUAUAAUUAAAGCCUUGGCGCUUAGAGAUGGCUGUGCGUAUGAUUAGGUAGUUGGNGCGGGUAACGGCCCACCAAGCCUUCGAUCAUUAACUGGUGUGAGAGCACGACCAGUCAC